rnacentral:rRNA from 1 species
AACGAACGCUGGCGGCAUGCCUAACACAUGCAAGUCGAACGAGAUCCUUCGGGGUCUAGUGGCGCACGGGUGCGUAACGCGUGGGAAUCUGCCCUUAGGUUCGGAAUAACAGUUAGAAAUGACUGCUAAUACCGGAUGAUGACGUUAAGUCCAAAGAUUUAUCGCCUGAGGAUGAGCCCGCGUAGGAUUAGCUAGUUGGUGUGGUAAAGGCGCACCAAGGCGACGAUCCUUAGCUGGUCUGAGAGGAUGAUCAGCCACACUGGGACUGAGACACGGCCCAGACUCCUACGGGAGGCAGUAGUGGGGAAUAUUGGACAAUGGGCGCAAGCCUGAUCCAGCAAUGCCGCGUGAGUGAUGAAGGCCUUAGGGUUGUAAAGCUCUUUUACCCGGGAUGAUAAUGACAGUACCGGGAGAAUAAGCCCCGGCUAACUCCGUG